UCGUUUCUUGCAGAUCGUUCUGCCAGACUUUGGGAUGUAGAAACAGGGCAGUGUCUUUUAAAAUACUUGGGCCAUAAUGGAUCAGUGAACUCCAUUAGAUUCCACCCAACUGAUGCAAUAAUUUGUACAGGAUCAGGAGAUGGCACAUGUCACAUAUGGAGGGCAUUAGACUCAAAUCCUGAGCAAGUAAGACAUCAAUAAUAUAUAGUGCAACAGAAAGCCUACUGCUUACAGGGCACAGCAAUGAACGUACAUGUGGGAGUCCAUAGGCAAAAUUGUUACAUGUAUGAAAAUUUGUCUGAUGUGUCCAGUGUUUUGAACAUAGAGUUUUGCAACAGCUUUAUGUUUGGAGCAGAUUGCCUGAGUGUCAGAUUUGAUGCAUAACCUUACAACUUAAACUAACUAAGAAUAAUAAAUAAAAAAAAAACAGGAUCUGAUACCUCGAGUGGGCGGGAAGGGGAAGGGUGGCUCAAUUGUGAAAAGGUCACUGGUGAAAAACUUUAAAUUAAGCCCCCAAAAGGAGACCAAUCUGAGCAUGGCUCUAGUUUUGUUUUGACAGCUAUUAUUGGGAUCAUCAAUCAACACUAAUUCUCUUUGGCUGGUACUGAGACUUUUCAUAACUAGGGGGGCCGCUGUAAUUGGCUAAGCUGUAGCGGCUCCCCUGGCCAUUUUGUUUUGUUUUGC